AGGAAUGCGGCUUCGGUCAAAUGACUUUUGAACCUAGCGGCGGACGGGUGAGUAACGCGUGAGCAACCUGCCUUUCAGAGGGGGAUAACAUUUGGAAACAGAUGCUAAUACCGCAUAAGAUUACAGUACCGCAUGAUACAGUGAUCAAAGGAGCAAUCCGCUGAAAGAUGGGCUCGCGUCCGAUUAGAUAGUUGGUGAGGUAACGGCUCACCAAGUCGACGAUCGGUAGCCGGACUGAGAGGUUGAACGGCCACAUUGGGACUGAGACACGGCCCAGACUCCUACGGGAGGCAGCAGUGGGGAAUAUUGCACAAUGGGCGAAAGCCUGAUGCAGCAACGCCGCGUGAGGGAAGACGGUUUUCGGAUUGUAAACCUCUGUUUUCGGUGACGAACAAAUGACGGUAACCGAGUAGGAAGCCACGGCUAACUACGUGCCAGCAGCCGCGGUAAUACGUAGGUGGCAAGCGUUAUCCGGAAUUACUGGGUGUAAAGGGAGCGCAGGCGGGAUAGCAAGUCAGCUGUGAAAACUAUGGGCUCAACCCAUAAACUGCAGUUGAAACUGUUAUUCUUGAGUGGAGUAGAGGCAAGCGGAAUUCCGAGUGUAGCGGUGAAAUGCGUAGAUAUUCGGAGGAACACCAGUGGCGAAGGCGGCUUGCUGGGCUCUAACUGACGCUGA
rnacentral:rRNA from 1 species